UCUGUCUCCGUUUCUUAACAUUUCGUGGCGCAUGAGCAAGCCAGACAUCCUCCGCACAGCAUGGUGCUAGUGCAGGUAGGUGUUUGUUCUCUCAUUUCACCCAUUCAUACUCUGUUUAAGGCUUGAGCUGUGUGACUAAUUGGUUGGCAAGUCAAAUUCAAGGGGUAACAGCAAUGCAGAGCAACAGUGUGUAUUUUGUUUUCAGGGACACAGCUUCAAAAAAACACGAUUUGCAACUGAGCCAGUCUCUUUAUGCUGUCAUGCUGUUGUUGGCUAGAGUGUUUCAACACACUCACAGAGCUUUUUAGUCAGAUUGCUUAGGAGUUGGAGGAAAAGUAAGGAGGAGGAGUUGGCUACCAGUUACAGGGAGCAAAAUAAAUGAAAUCUAAAAAUACAUAUAUUUGGGUUUGUUUACUGCUUGUAACUGCAAACAAUUGUAGCUUAGUGUUAAACUUUUAAGUACUUUAAUCUUUUCUUUGCCAAGUUUCACAGACAGACUAUGCAUAUGUUGGCGUUUGUGCUUUGCCCGACAGAUGCUCUGUCAGAAAUUGACUUUUUAUCCAGAUUUGGGCCACAUUUUUGCAACUUUUUUUAUUAUACUUAGUCGUUUGGAACUGUAUCUUUUAACUGGAUAAAGGAUUUUAGUCAUCAGAUGUGGAUUUUAAGUUGUUUCAAGAACUAUUCAUAGCUGUGACAACACAAGAGAAUCUGACUGUAGAACACUCUAUAUCUUAUCUGAAGAAAUUCAGCUGCGUUACACUUUGCCUACUGUUCUGGCUACUUGAUUUGUCAGGCUUGUUUUUAGCUUGAUAGCAAAGCUAAAUGACUCAUAUAUACCAAUUUUGAACCAUGAAGACUCUGUGUAUGGAAGAGGAUUAGGGCCACAUGUGAGUCAGAAGUCAGAAGUCAGAAUUCUGAGUUUAAAGUUUUGGAUCCCUUUUGUCCUGUCUCUAUAGAUGAAGAGCCUUUAUAGGAAAAAUGAAACUCUCCUCAAGCCCACUAGAUGUCCUACCAACUUCUCUAUUUUUAAAGUUUUUUAUAUACAUAUUAACUAAACAGGCACUGGCCUUACAUCUAGGGUGCAAGAUUGUUGUGAGAUAAUACUGAGGCAUGGAUGUGACUGAAUCUCUGGUCUACUGCUUGUAACAGGGUGCUUUUGGAAGUUUUCACUCCCUGGUCUGUUGCAAUGGUCUCGUUUAACGGACUUUUUAAGGCUUCACUGGAGAGGAUCACAUCUGCUGCUGUGGCUGUAGCUGAGCUAAUAUCUCUAGUCAGCUGUUCACACGUAUCGAGAAUGGUCAUCAUGUUUUCAAUUAGCACCGAUUGGUAUACCCUUAGAGAUGCAGGUAAUGCAUGAUCUACUCCAUAUGCUGCGAGCGUUUGCUUCUGCUCCAACAAACUCCUCAGCAUAUAAAACGUGCUAUUCCAUCGCUUGGCUACAUGUUGUUGGAGCCGUGAGGUUUUCAUGCCCAGUUGUGUCUGUAAAUCUUUCAGACGGGAGGGGGGAAGUUGGGAGUGCUUAAAAUGCCCUGCAAUCUUCCUCCUGAUUGAAACACAGUCAGAUAUACUUCUUUGGCUCAGCCUUGUUCACAAGAAGCUGUAAAGUGUGUUCCAUACAGCCCAACCUUGCAACCCCACAUUUCUCCAUAGCUUUGGCCAUUUGUGUGCAUUGUCCCUAAACACAAUGUGCACCCUCUCCUUUGUAAUGUUCCACUGCCCAAACAUGAUUUCAAAAGCUUCGCAGAUCGCUGUGCUGUACAUGAACUGGAGCACUCCUUUACAAAUAAUAAUGUCCUUUUCAUGUUAAAGUCCUCAUCCAGCCACGGGGCUGUCAAACUAAGUAUACUCACUGGACUAACGUAAGAAGUCCAUGGUAAAACCUAUGUCGCUUACGUUGGUAUCAAUCACACUAUGAAUGUGUGUGGCGACCACAUCAUACAGGGCAGGUAGGGACAAGUCUGCAAAGUAGUGGCAGCUUGUGAGAGGUCACCGGGGUUCCAAAUGCGUCAGUAGCUGACAAAAUCCUUGGUCUUCUACUACAGAAAAAGGCUGGUCAUCAAGUACCAUAAAUUCUAUGAUUUUGUCAUUAAUUGCUUUAGCCUUUAGGCUGUCUCUAGUAAACUUCCUGCAGUUUUGAAAUCGCUUCUUUUUUUUUUUUUUUCGCCAACACUGACUGCUCGUGCUUCAUAUUCCCUCAAUACAUCUUUUUUGUGAUGACAGCUUUUCAGGUGACUUAAAAGAUUUGUUGUAUUAAAACUCGCAGACUUUUUCCCUCCUCUCAGAAACCUUUGCACAGCAUGUAUUACAAAUUGCAAUCGUGUUGUCUUCCUCUGAAACUGUGAAAAAAGUCCACAUCUCCCACCUGGUAAAGCCAUGUUUGGCUCUAGUCCACACUCGUGGCUCUAUCCAGGUGCAGCAGUUUGACAUCAUGAGUGCGACAACAGUAUUGUUUGUUUAUUUCUGAGCUGCAUGAGCUGAGCUUGUAGCUAUGGUCUCACUGUGGAUCCACAGCAGCACCAGGUGGGGGGGUGGGGGGGGCUAGACUUGCUGUGUUAAUUUUUUAUUUCGGUGUUACUGAUGUGAUAUGUGGGGUUGAAGGCUCCAGAGCUGUUUGAGCUAUCCAUCUUUGAUGGAGCUUUAGUGAGGUAAAUACUUUUUCAGUGAGUAAUAUGUAAUUGAUUACAUCUUUCACCUAACUUCUUCCUCUUAAUUAGUCAGUCAUAAUAAUGGCAGAUAAAGUCCAAUACAGCCAUUUGUAUCAAGCUAAUUUGAACUUCAUGAGCUCUUUGUGACAGCAAGGAAAAAGAAGUUACACUGUGUCCUGGCAGCAAGUAAUCGUCUGACUAUCAGGUCACAUCACAUAACAUCGGAUGCUCUCUGUCCACACUGAAACUAUUAAAUAUGCAUUUCUGUUACGUCAUGUAAAAAAAACCAUGCACCUAUCAGCUGUGCACUGAAGAUCAGACUGGAGACGUAACCACUCAAGUAAAAGAUGGGUGAGUACUUGCUGUCCUACAUUUCUACUUUUUAAAUAGAAAACACAUGUUUUGUAUGGUGAUAUUUAGAUGUUUCUUUAGUGGAAAUGACAUCUAACGUAGCAAACAGGAGCUUAACCAGAAACUUCCAGCUCCCUGGCGAUUUCCCUCCAGCCAGUUCCAGUGGACAUGUCACAAUAGAUGGAUGACUGACUGAAGAAACACAAGCUUGACUUACCACAAGAAUGAAUGCAAAAUUUAAAAAAGUAAAAAUGGAAUUCAGCAAACAGUUGGAUUAUCAAGAAUGAUUAUUUAAAGGUGAAGUCAAACCCAAACUAACCCUAAACCCUAAAAUUGUGAUAUAUUUUCAGCAAAUAAAGGAUUCAGUUCCAUUAAGAGAUAUUUGAUGGGUGGUAACAGUGUGUUACGUGUAACACACACCUCAUGGAUCCAGACAAUAACAAUAAGCCUUUUGGCUAUUUGGAUUCAUAAUACAUGUCACUUCGCACCCUCUCUGAAAUACUGCGGUGUGUGUUGGUAGCUUGAUGUAAAUGUCACUGUCCUUGUUUCGACAGAGAUUGUAAUUUUAACAUCAGAGGCGGCAUAGUAAACUACCUCGCCUUCCUCAGUUGUUUCAGUAAGUCAUUUUUUAUAUUGCCUUGAGUUUUUUCACAUAAUGAAAAUAAAACCACCCACAAACGAAGAGGACGUUCAAAAUAACACACGGUAUGAAUACUCAAGGCCAGAUGAACCUGAGUUCCAAAUAUGAUUCUGUUCCCUAUUUGUACCAUCACAACCUCUUUCCUGUAAUACAGUUGUUGUUGUUUUUUCUACCAGGUAUAAACUGGUGAUUUCCCUUCAUUUAAUUUCUUGCAUUUUCUUCUCUCCAUAUAGAACCCCAGUGUUCCCUUCACCUGAUGAUAAUUUGAUUAACUGUUUUCCUGUUUUGCUGUGCAGUCUGAACUCCAUGCCCUCAACCGGCCGACUUACUCAUCAUUACAAGAUCCAGACUCCAGCUUCUCACCCCAGCACACCGAACCCCAUUCUCUGCGAGAAGCCACCCCAGGGAGCAAGCAAGUAUUCCUACAAAACCUUCAUCAACUGGCUUAAACCUUGGUGCUUUCAUAAUUUGUAACUUCAACUGGCACUUCACAAUUUAGCUGUUGAACCAUUGAUUUGACUCACUGCUUCCCAAGUAACAUCAGUCAUCUCAUCUGUUUAUCAGGUCUCUCAUACCAACUGCAAAAUAGAUAACUCUGCAUCAUGCAUUCAAAUCAUUCACUGGCCAUUGAUUUGUGUACCAGUUUCCUUUUCCCUCUUGUGUCUUGCUUGUAAAAUGUUGUAGUGUUUAGUAAU